rnacentral:rRNA from 1 species
AUGCCAGUCGAACGGUGACGACGGGGCUUGCUCUGUCUGAUCAGUGGCGAACGGGUGAGUAACACGUGAGUAACCUGCCCCCGACUCUGGAAUAACCGUGGGAAACGACGGCUAAUACCGGAUAUGAGACGCACGGGCAUCUGUGUGUCUGGAAAGAUUUAUCGGUCAGGGAUGGACUCGCGGCCUAUCAGCUUGUUGGUGGGGUAAUGGCCCACCAAGGCGACGACGGGUAGCCGGCCUGAGAGGGCGACCGGCCACACUGGGACUGAGAUACGGCCCAGACUCCUACGGGAGGCAGCAGUGGGGAAUAUUGCACAAUGGGCGCAAGCCUGAUGCAGCGACGCCGCGUGAGGGAUGAAGGCCUUCGGGUUGUAAACCUCUUUCAGCAGGGAAGAAGCGAAAGUGACGGUACCUGCAGAAGAAGCGCCGGCUAACUACGUGCCAGCAGCCGCGGUAAUACGUAGGGCGCAAGCGUUGUCCGGAAUUAUUGGGCGUAAAGAGCUCGUAGGCGGUUUGUCGCGUCUGCUGUGAAAACCUGAGGCUCAACCUCGGGCUUGCAGUGGGUACGGGCAGACUAGAGUGCGGUAGGGGUGACUGGAAUUCCUGGUGUAGCGGUGGAAUGCGCAGAUAUCAGGAGGAACACCGAUGGCGAAGGCAGGUCACUGGGCCGCAACUGACGCUGAGGAGCGAAAGCAUGGGGAGCGAACAGGAUUAGAUACCCUGGUAGUCCAUGCCGUAAACGUUGGGCACUAGGUGUGGGGCUCAUUCCACGAGUUCCGUGCCGCAGCAAACGCAUUAAGUGCCCCGCCUGGGGAGUACGGCCGCAAGGCUAAAACUCAAAGAAAUUGACGGGGGCCCGCACAAGCGGCGGAGCAUGCGGAUUAAUUCGAUGCAAC